rnacentral:lncRNA from 1 species
UGGUGGUAUGACGUCAUAAAGCCGCGCCGCGCUGUGAUGCGACUGAAGGAAGGUUUGUGUUUUUAGCCAUUUCAAGUAAAGUGUUUAAAUCGAUGGAGUCCGAUAGAGCAAUUUCAUAGUUUUUAGUAAGCGAUGUGAAAUUAAUUAUUGUUUAAUGUAAUACUGCAGCGCUUCAUCUAUUAUUUAUGAGCGCUAAUUUGUGAUUAAAACGCAUCCACACAUCUGUAACAGAAAAGUGCGCCUCACGUUGCUUCCUUUAUCAUCGAUCAGUUCACCUUAAACACGAACUGAUGAGCAAGUACUAGUGAUGGAGAAACGGAGCUCUUUUAAAUGAAGAAUAUUAAAUCAAUCGCUUCGCGAAACGAUUCAGUGAUUCGAAUCUCUUGAGUCGCCGCGCGCUGACGGUCCGCACAAUGUAAACACAACAAAACAUAAACAUGCGAGAAUAACUCUUACUAACCUGUAUUUAACUAAGUGCACUAACGAAAACAACGAUAUUCUUCUUUAUUAUAUAUAUAUAUAUAUAUAUAUUAAUAAUCAUGCCAUUAUCUCUCACCGUGACUGACUCCCUUAUCAGUGUGCUGACUACUGAACUAGGGAGCUGAUUGAGAUCGAUUACUUGAAUUUUCUUUUUUGUCAUCUUAAAUGUCACAGAGUGCCAAACACAGAAAAACUGCUGAAGUAACUGAGAUCUACGUGACACGCUGUUAUAAAGAUGGCGUUUAUUAAAGAAGAGAGUGAAGACGUGAAGAUUGAAGAAACAUUCAGAGUCAAACAAGAAGAUACUGAGACACAAACAAAGAUGGAGUUUAUUAAAGAGGAGAUCGAAGAGCUGAAGAUUAAAGAAGUGUUCAGUCUGAAACAAGAAGAUACUGAAGAACAAACAGACCUGAUGCCACUGAAAGAGGAGAGUCAAGAGCUCAAUGAUAUGGAAGAAGAAUAUCAAUAUGAGAAACCUCAUCAGUUCAUGGCUGGAGAAAAAUGUUUUAGUGACUCAAAGAUUGAAAAAACAUCCUCACAAAACAAAGGAAAUAAAAAAACAUUAAAGCCCACAUGAAAGUUAAAACUGGAAAGGGCCCUUUCACUUGCCAACAGUGUGGAAGAAGUUUCAAUUACAAACAAGCCCUUAACAGGCACAUGAAAAUUCACACCGGUGUGAAGCCUUUCACUUGCCAACAGUGUGGAAGAAGUUUCAGUCUCAAACAGUGUCGUCGCCUCAG